ensembl:lncRNA
GGCCUGAUUUUCCUCCUGUCCCUCACAAUUUAUCCCACAGGUUGCAACUUUCCUUUUUGCCAAACCUCUGUUCUCAGUUGGGAAUGAUCAAUAAGAGGUUGCUGAAUUUCACUAAAACUAAAAACUUUUCAGUAAUGGUGCUGAAGAGUUGGAUCUGGACAUUGGUAGGUGUAAACUGAGCCUUUUUAUAUGUGACAUUCGACCACAGUGAAUAGAACAUUCGAAAUUUCUAUCUGUAGAAUAAAUAGCAUGCAUCUGAAGCUAGAUUUCAAUUCACAUUUCAUCAAGCUGAAGCCCUAAUUUGUCAGUACCUGAAGUCACGAUAAGUCUUUCUGUUGAUGGCCCUGAUGAGCCAUUAUGUAGUUAUUCCAGAAAUGCUUUCUGGAUUUUCUUUUUUCUUCUUAAUUAUUCCCUGCAGUGGUUGACUUCACACAAGCACGCAGAAAUUAGGGAUUUUAUUCCCCAAUUAUCUGCUGAAGUGAAAGAAUACAAAAUAAAAACAAUGGCUGUAUGGUGAUAAUAAGAAGCCAACAUACCUUUGCAAAUGAACACGUGCCAAGCAUAAAACCUGGGUGUGCAUCCCACACACACUGUGCCGUGUUGUGCCAGCAUGUUCCUAAUCCUCCCUACAACCGCCUCCCUCCAACUUCAUUUCAGACUUCAGCUUUAUACCAGUAUCUAAAACACAGAAGCCAGAUUCUGAAUGCAUUUAUUCCAGUGUAAAUCCAGAGCUACUCCUUUGAAUUCACUAUGUUUAUCCUCUGCCUACGUGGCUCCAAAUAUUGUCCUUAUGCUCCGAACCUUGGAUUCCUAACAUGUUUAGAUGGUUUUGAAAACAUUUUCAGCAAACAGUCUCUAGCUCAGUGCAGAUUAAAUCGAAGGCACAGGCUGCACUUCAGAAGUUUUAUAGUUAUGUCAGGGAAGUGAUUGCAAAACUUUGUUAUUGACGUGACUAUGCUGAUGAAAGUCCUCAUGUAAAAACAGUUGUAUCGCUAUAAAGCACUUUAUACUGGUACAGCUUAUUUUGCUUUGCUGGACCACUUUUAUACAAGUGCAAGCACUUUUAUCCUGGUAUCCUUCAGUCUACACUAGUGGUCAUUUUUUUGUUUUAACUAUGCUGGCAGAAAUGUGAUAAAGUUUAAGGUGACACUGGUGUUUCUUGCACAACAGUGUCCGUCCAAUAUUUUCUUUGAGAGCAUUUUUAAAAGUGAAAUAGCUGUACCACUGGAAUUAACUGCAGAGAGUAAUAAACUUCCAGUUCAUCAUCACUCUCAGCUCAUGAAAUGUCUUCAGGCUUUUGUAAAAAGCCCUGUUUGAGACAACAGAUUAAAUACUAAUCCUGGCAGAUCGAACAUCUCCACUUGAGCCCAUACCAUCUAGCUGAGCAAACUUUUUCUUUUUUUCUUUUUUUUUUUUUGGUCUAAGUAAAGGCAACAAAUUCUUUCAUUAGAUGAGAUAGCAGGAAAAAAAGAUCAAUAUUUUAAAAAGAAAACAAAAAUAAUAUCUUGCAAAAAUGCAGCUACGCUAAAUGCAAGGAAUGCUUUCCCUUGAAAGCCACAUCCCCAUGUGGUCAUCAGCCCAGGCGAGGGAUGCAUUUGCAGUACUUAAACAUCCAUGCAAUUGUCUCAAAUGUGGAAGAUUUAUAUGGGCAAUGCGUUCACUUACUAACUACUCAUGUAACGUUAAAACAAUACAUACCUGUAUAUAUCAAGGUAGAUUUGCAGCGAGAUACAGACCUCUUCCCCUGUACACACUCGCGUGCUUGUGCACACACAGGUACACCGUGCAGGUGUGCCUCUGCUCAUGAUCAGGCAAUGAUGCCGGGGCUGAAGUAACAGCUGGGCACUGCUGGCACCAAGUGAGGCAGCAGAUAUCUUCAGGAUGUACAACCCAGUAUUUUGGCUUUAUAACGCAGCAAAUGCUGGAAUGUGCAAUACAGGUUGCAAAAGCUGACAAGCUAAACAGUUCUUAUUUGGCUCAGGGUACUUCGCUGUCAUAUGUCUCCGGUACAAUAUGUGCCCUUUUGUCUCUAGUGCUUAGGCAUCACUUCUUAAUCCUUUUGUGUUUGGGGUUUUUUUCUGUACAUUUGUUUUGGGUUUUAUUAUGUUGAAUACGUCAGCAGGAAUCAUUAGAGAUCCACCCCCAUUUUAAAUAAUAAAGCAUAAGUGGCCAUAAUAGUAAAUCUGAUGGUUUUGCUCUGCCCCAGCGCUUGUGGUAUGUAGUAAGUUUGUUAUUGGCAGCAUCUUCAGGUUACACCUGUGACCCGUGGUGUUAGGUCUAGAAUUUUGUUUAAAAAAUAAUAAUAACAAUAAUAAUAAAAAAAAAAUCAAAAGCUCAUUUCUCUUUAAAAAAAAUAAAUGUAUAUACUACCAAUCUCAAACCAGAAAGAUUAAACACAUUUUUUAUAUGAACAACACGAAUGGGACUCCUUUCCGAGAGGACUCACGGUGACUUUAUCUGUAGAAUGUUUCAGUGCUUCUGCACUCAUUUUGUAACAAGUGCAUGCUGUAUAGAAUAUAUUGCCUGUAUACUUAGAGUGAGGGGGGGGGCAAGCUGCUUUUCAUUGUGUACUGCAGCUUGUUUGGAUGAAAAGUCGCGCCUUUGAUGCAUUUUUAUACUGUACAUAUUUGUAUAUAUUAACUCUAUUGCCAUGUUCUGAACACAGAUUUUGUUAUAUUUGCUUGUUUCGGUUUCCUACAAAAAUUGGUUCAUGACGGGAAAUACUUUUUUUUUUUAAUAGAAAAUAUGCUUGUAAUUUCUGUUUGUUUGUUUUCUUGGUCAUCAUCUUUUAAUGGCUCAUAAAGGAAUUAGAGAUGAGUUUUUGGAGGAACUCUGAAAUGCAAGUCUGUGUUUGCAUGAGACCUGCCCAAUUGCUGGCUAUAAAGGGGGGCGGGGGGAAGAGGGGAAAUCUAAGUCAAGUUUUGCUUUUAAAGCAUGCUAGUCCCAUGGGAAAACUCAUACAUGUACAAUUAUUCUCUUUGUAUUUUAUCUAAUAGUGCCUGAAUUAUUAUUUUUUUUAAUAUCUUCUUGGAGGAACAAUUCAUAAUUGUCAAACUUUGAAACAUUAGCUUAAUUUUGUCUUCAUGACCUCUCAUUUCUCCUCCUUAUUUAUUUUGUUGCUGUUCAUAAUGGGCCCCAAGGCCAUUUCUGACAUUGCAGUGUUCUUCUUCCACAUUAAGGAUGUUUUUAAAAUUACUAAGAUUAUUGAGCCAACAGGCUGUUUUAAUCAAAACCAUGUUUCACUUGGGUUUGAUGAUUACGAAUGGUCCCUGCAAUGGCAGAACCCUUUCUGCUGGGAGGACCCUACCACCUAGUGGCCCCGAAGCAUCAGCACAGAGAUGCAUCUUCCCAAUAUUCCCUGUCUUUCUCAAAGCCAGGCUGGCAAUAUUGCUUCAAAUUAUUUGCUUAUUAUAACUAACUUAAACUAAACAAAUUGAUAAUGUUAAUGGCAUUUUUUUUUUCCUCCUUUGGUUGAUGAUUGCUAAAUAAAUUCGUAUAAUUUAUACUAGAGGAGAUUACUGCUUUUAUUGUUUUGGGUUCCCCCAAACCAAUUAUUAACAAUCAGGACUAUGUAUCUCAUUAAAUUUAAAUCAGGUCAAACCUAUUUAUCUAAGGCCUUUUCUGAUACAGGAAGAUGACUGCAUUCCAAUGCGUUUAAGAUGUAUUUCUGUGUAUGAUUUUGCAGCAUUGAAAUCUAUGAUUCUUGUAAUGGUGGUUUUUAUUUCUGUAUUUUUACCAAGGUAAAUAUAUUGUAAAAACAAAAAAACAAAAAAAAUCCCUCAACUUUACCAUAGAAAACAUCACUUUUUAUGCCCAGGGAUAUUUUUUUUUUUUUUUUAAUAAAAUCACUGCAGUUUUAGAACUGUAAUUAAAGCCCUGAAUAAUAGAUCACUCAUCUUUAUCUGUUGUGUUUAAAAGGAAAAAAAAAAUAGCCCAAACUGUUCACAUAAUCCUGAAUGCCUCAUUUCCAUAAAAAAGGUUUCUAUACAUAUAUUAUUUACAUUUUUAAACAUGGUAAUUCUUUCCUUUGUGGCAUAAAAUGUCUCUUUUCCACUGCAGCUAUUGGAAAGCGACUGCUCACAUCUGAAAUGUUAUCGUAAUUUGCAUCAGGAAACCCAACUGCAGACAUUAAGGACUUGGGUGUGUUCAAUUAUGAUUUUGCUGGAGGCUGUCCCUCAUUUUAAUGCUGCACUCAUUGAACUACCUUUCUGAAAUCUAGCUGAUAUGGUUCACCAUAGACAUGCUUCACAACAUCAUUAGCUUUGCAAAUGGCUUCAUUUCAGUCAAUGCAGACUUCAGUUUUGGCCAAUUGUAAAAUGGAAAUUUGAAAAGGAAAAAAAGAAAAAA